CCUCCUAUUUUCCCACCCUCCUUUCUCUUUUGUGAGCUUUCAAGUCCCCCAAUUAAAUGACUGGUACGUUUUCUUUGUGAAAGGCAUCAAAGUUCACUGGGUAACUUCAACAAUGGAUCCAAUAGGAUGAGAUGGGUGGCACAGGAUGGACAAAUGCCCAAUAUCCUCUCAUUUCCAGAAGGUUCUUUAACCCAUCUGUACAAUGGCCAUGACUGGAGAGGUGGUAUCCUGGGAGUGUGGGAGGAGAAACCAAUGGCUGAGAAGAUCAUUGCCCUUUGGAGUUACUAAGAGCUGCAUAAAUACCCUUUCUACCGGGAGACCAGCACUUACAGGCCAAUGGUAAGUACACCGUGGCACUAUGUCAAAUUGUGCCUUAAGCUAGCAGCCUAGAUGCUGCUCCCUGGCCUGUCAAAAACAUCUGUUUAGCAGAGAACACAUGGUAGUUUCUCUAAAGACUAAACUAGCAGGUUACUGCUACUUCAGCAUUCUUUAGGGGCUAAAAGUGUGUUGAAGCAAUUCUCAGAUUCAAUUUAAACUCUACUUACAGAACACUUCUUAUAUUUAGGCACUGGGCUAGGCACUUUGGAGAAUAUAAGGGAAUACGGAACAUACAUACUGAACAGUUAAAACCAACAAAAGGUGGAAUAGAAUUCAAUGUGUGCACAUAGAUAAGGCAUGAGAUGUCAGAAAAAGAGAGAUCAACACAAGCUACAAUACAGACUGCUAGAACCAGAAGAGACUUCUAGGAUCAAGCGUUUAUUCAUCCAUUUAUUUAGCAUUCAUUUAUUAAAUAUUUACUGAACACAUACUCUGUAUUGGGAUCUGUGGAAAGCAGUGAAUUAGGAGAAGACAGGUCAAUUGUUUAGAAGAAAUUGUUCAAGCAAGUAGAAGAAAUGGACAUAGAAUUCAUGUCUUAACUCAUAAUUCAUUUAUUAAAUACAAGAUAUAAACUUAUUAUGUGCCAGGCACUGGAGUAGAUGCAAAAAGAUUGUGUUGCAUAUUGGUAAAGCACCUCUGGCACUUAAGUAGUUGCAAGAAUCUGCAAAAGUUUCUUAACAUUUUCUAACAUUUCAUUAAUGAUAAUACACAGAUGAUAACACUUCUCUCAUUGAGUAGAUAUGAGCAUUAAGUGAAAUGCAUACUUAAAGGGUAUAGCAUAAUCUCAGACAUAAAGUAACUGCUUAGGAAGUGCUCCUCUUUCUGAUCAUAGUCCUCCUCCUCCUCCUUCUCAUUGAGCUAUCUCAGUGGAUAAAACAUGGUAUCCAUAUGGUACAUUUGAAUGCUCCCUCCAAACCUCACUUUUAAAUUUAAUUGCUAUUGUGAUGGUACUAACAAGUGGGCUGUUUAAGAAGUGAUUGGGUCAUAAGGAUGAAGCCUUUGUGAGUGGAUUGUUGUUGUUAUCACAGGAGUGGGUUGAUUAUCUUGAGAAUAGGCUGAAAUAAGGACAGCCCAGCACUUCCUGCUUCCCCUCUCAUGUGGGUUUGCUUGCCUUUCUGCCUUUCCACAAUGGGACGACUCCACAUAGAGCCAUGUAUCAAGAGCUGGCCCCCAAGAGCCGGCCCCUUACCCUUAUUCUUCCCAACCUCCAGAACCCUGAAUUAAAUAAACUUUUUUGUGUGUGAAUUACCCAGUCUAUAAUACUAAGUUACAGCAAGAGAAACAGGAUCAAGACACCAUCUUCAACAAUCUUCUAUUAAUUCUAGUGGAGAAGAAGUACAUAUACCCAGAUCACUAUGAUACUCUGAUACCAGAGCUUUGGUGGGAAAUCAUUAAGUAAAAUAAGGGGGCUGGGGAUGUGGCU